UCCCAGGUGGCUCAGCUGGUAAAGAAUCUGCCCGCAAGGCAGGAGACCUGGGUUCGAUCCCUGGGUUGGGAA
rfam:Ovis aries breed Texel chromosome 10, whole genome shotgun sequence.